rnacentral:rRNA from 1 species
AACGAACGCUGGCGGCAGGCUUAACACAUGCAAGUCGAACGAACCUGUUUACAGGUGAGUGGCGCACGGGUGCGUAACGCGUGGGAAUGUACCCAGGGUGCGGAAUAACAGCUGGAAACGGUUGCUAAUACCGCAUAAUGACUCCGGUCCAAAGAUUUAUCGCCCUGGGAUCGGCCCGCGUCUGAUUAGAUAGUUGGUGAGGUAACGGCUCACCAAGUCGACGAUCAGUAGCUGGUCUGAGAGGAUGAUCAGCCACACUGGAACUGAGACACGGUCCAG